rnacentral:rRNA from 1 species
GCAUAACACAUAGGUGUCGCAUGGCAUUUAUGUCAAAGAUUUAUCGCUGAAAGAUGGCCUCGCGUCUGAUUAGCUAGUUGGUGAGGUAACGGCUCACCAAGGCGACGAUCAGUAGCCGGACUGAGAGGUUGGCCGGCCACAUUGGGACUGAGACACGGCCCAAACUCCUACGGGAGGCAGCAGUGGGGAAUAUUGGACAAUGGGGGGAACCCUGAUCCAGCGACGCCGCGUGAGUGAAGAAGUAUUUCGGUAUGUAAAGCUCUAUCAGCAGGGAAGAAAGAAAUGACGGUACCUGACUAAGAAGCCCCGGCUAACUACGUGCCAGCAGCCGCGGUAAUACGUAGGGGGCAAGCGUUAUCCGGAUUUACUGGGUGUAAAGGGAGCGUAGACGGCGAUGCAAGUCUGAAGUGAAAGGCGGGGGCCCAACCCCCGGACUGCUUUGGAAACUUUUUUGCUGGAGUACCGGAGAGGUAAGCGGAAUUCCUAGUGUAGCGGUGAAAUGCGUAGAUAUUAGGAGGAACACCAGUGGCGAAGGCGGCUUACUGGACGGUAACUGACGUUGAGGCUCGAAAGCGUGGGGAGCAAACAGGAUUAGAUACCCUGGUAGUCCACGCGGUAAACGAUGAAUGCUAGGUGU